AACACUGAUCCCAGACAAGCCACCAAAUGAAACAUCCCACGUAGAGAGAGACCCUUACUCAAGUCUCGGGAAAUCGCAGACCCCAGACACAGAGAGACCA
rnacentral:pre_miRNA from 14 species